CCCUUAGAUGUUCUGGGCCGCACACGCGCUACACUGAAGGAGGCAGCGUGUACUCCUGGAUCGAAAGAUUUGGGUAACCCGCGAAUCUCCUUCGUGCUAGGGAUUGAGGUUUGCAAUUAUCCUUCAUGAACGAGGAAUUCCCAGUAAGUGCAAGUCAUAAGCUUGCGCUGACUACGUCCCUGCCCUUUGUACACACCGCCCGUCGCUACUACCGAUUGAAUGAUUUAGUGAGGACUUCGGACUGGGACCGAUGCGGCUUUAGGGCUGCGUCGGUAUUCUGGAAAGAUGUCCAAACUGUAUCAUUUAGAGGAAGUAAAAGUCGUAACA
rnacentral:rRNA from 1 species